rnacentral:lncRNA from 1 species
AAUUUCAAAGUGUGUUUUAGACCACUACAGUGGCCAUGCCUAAUAAUUCCUUAUUUUUACAAGUGAUGGAUAGGGUUUUUCCCAAAAUAAUAGUAACACUGGGUGUCCACACCACUACUCAGGUGGGCCUUAAUUCCCAGCCAGGUUCCCUCCCUGGACACACAAUGAAGGGC